CAACAACAUGACCAAGGCUGACACAGGAAUGUUCAAGCUUUUCAACUAUUCGGAGUUCCACACGAGUCACAGAAGAACAGGACUCCAAACGAGACAAAGCCCCGUCUCAGAGUCUGCAGGAACAGGUCUCCGAUUCUAACCUGGAGGGAGAGGGGAGAGCAGGAAAGAGCAGCACUCACUGACGAUGGUGACUCGCUCCUGCUUCUCAUCUGCAGAGGUCAGCACGGCGUCCAGCCAGUCCAGCUGCUCCUGACUGAAGCCUCCGUUGAACAUGGUGAACCUCUGCUUGACGU